AUUGAACGCUGGUGGCAGGCCUAACACAUGCAAGUCGAGCGAGCGGCGGACGGGUGAGUAAUGUAUGGGGAUCUGCCCGAUCGAGGGGGAUAACUACUGGAAACGGUGGCUAAUACCGCAUACGAUCGGAUGAACCCAUAUGGGAUUGGCUAGUAGGUGGGGUAAAGGCUGACCUAGGCGACGAUCCCUGGCUGGUCUGAGUGGAUGAUCAGCCACACGGGAACAGAGACACGGCCCAGAUUCCCACGGGAGGCAGCAGUGGGGUGUAUUGCACAAUGGGCGCAAGCCUGAUGCAGCCAUGCCGCGUGUAUGAAGAAGGCCUUCGGGUUGUAAAGUACUUUCAGCGGGGAGUCGUUACCCGCAGAAGAAGCACCGGCUAACUCCGUGCCAGCAGCCGCGGUAAUUC
rnacentral:rRNA from 1 species